rnacentral:rRNA from 1 species
UACGUAGGGAGCAAGCGUUGUCCGGAAUCAUUGGGCGUAAAAGCGCGCGUAGGCGGCCCCAUAAGUCCGCUGUGAAAGUCAAAGGCUCAACCUUUGAAAGCCGGUGGAUACUGUGGGGCUAGAGUACGGAAGAGGCGAGUGGAAUUCCUGGUGUAGCGGUGGAAUGCGCAGAUAUCAGGAGGAACACCAAUGGCGAAAGGCAGC